rnacentral:lncRNA from 1 species
AUGAAAGAAACUGCUGACGGUGUGGCGUUCAAAAUCAAACCAAUCCUUCACCAGUUGCCAGAACUUGGCUUACGGGGGAAAGAGUUUAGGAAGAGAGAAGUCCCAGGUAGGGACUCAUAUCCUUCCCAAGACUGUCAUGCAAAGAUUUUUGUGUGUAUGUGCUCAGGUACAUUUUUCUGGGAGAGGAUCCUGCUGCUUUCAUUGAUUCUCGAGGGGAAGGUGGGGGGGGUCUCAUUGCCUUUCUCCUCUAUCAAAUGCAGUGGCUUCAUUUUUGCUUCUGUAUAAUAAUUACGUCCUUGAUUUUGAUAAAGAUAUGAUUAAAAGCAUCUGUUUGUAAAGAACGGGGUUAACAUCUAGAAUCUCAGCAAAGCGACCAUUCAGAGGUGCAAAAGGACUCGCGUUCCCAUCUUGUUGCUUAUCAAAAGCUUAGAUAAUUUAGGGUGGUAUCAAAAUUCUGAUGCACUUGAAUGCCUUUGUAAACUUGUUUACUCAGAAAUGCCAAGGCCAGAGUUCCCUACUGAAAUGCAAUUCCUUUUCACUCUGACGCAGCCGGAAUCCUUUUCUCAAUGGUCUAAAUUUCAGCACACAGCACAAGUCUGACAAAGGAGCGUAUUUCCACAUUAUAUUGAAUACUGCCUGGCACCUGUUUCUUGAAAUAAACGCGUUUCCUUUUUGGCAAAUGAGGACAUUUGGAAAAGAGGCCUUUUGUUCAAUAGUAUUAAACACAUUUACAUAGUUGACUAAACCAGUUGGAUUUUUCUUUGUCUUCUCAUUAGAUUAUAAACUCUAGGAGGGCAGGAAUCAUUCUGUUCAAUAUCACAUCUCCCGUGCUUGAUACACAGCAACUGCUCAAUAAAUAUUUAUCGAAUGAAUGAAUGAAAAACGACAAGCUGACAACAGAAUGCAUUUUAUAGGAAGCAUUUUUGAAGGUGUGUCGUUUGAACGACCUGUCCUUCACUCAAUUCAUUCCUUUGCAAUCUGUUGCGUGCCCACUCUGCACCGGGGACU